rnacentral:tRNA from 2 species
GCCCUCAUAGCUCAGUUGGUAGAGUGCAUCCAUGGUAAGGAUGAGGCCACCGGUUCAAUCCCGGUUGAGGGCUCCA